rnacentral:rRNA from 1 species
GGAGCUUUACUGUAGCUUGACAUUGGGUCUUGGUACUACAUGUACAGGAUAGGUGGGAGGCUUUGAAACCAGGACGCCAGUUUUGGCGGAGCCAUCCUUGGGAUACCACCCUUGUAGUACUGGGGCUCUAACCAUAGGCCAUGAAUCUGGUCUUGGGACACUGUCAGGUGGGCAGUUUGACUGGGGCGGUCGCCUCCCAAAAGGUAACGGAGGCGCUCAAAGGUUCUCUCAGUACGGUCGGAAAUCGUACGU